UACGUAGGGGGCAAGCGUUGUCCGGAUUUAUUGGGCGUAAAGAGCGUGUAGGCGGCCAGAUAGGUCCGUUGUGAAAACUCGAGGCUCAACCUCGAGACGCCGAUGGAAACCAUUUGGCUAGAGUCCGGAAGAGGAGAGUGGAAUUCCUGGUGUAGCGGUGAAAUGCGCAGAUAUCAGGAGGAACACCCGUGGCUAAGGCGGCUCUCUGGGACGGUACUGACGCUGAGGUGCGAAAGCGUGGGGAGCAAACAGG
rnacentral:rRNA from 1 species